AACGUAGGACGCAAGCGUUAUCCGGAGUUACUGGGCGUCAAGGGCGGGCAGGCGGUCUGUCAAGUGGGGGUGUGAAAGCUCCCGGCUUAACCGGGAGAGGCCAUUCCAGACUGACAGACUGGAGGGCAGGAGAGGUAGGCGGAAUUCCGGGUGGAGUGGUGAAAUGCGUAGAGAUCCGGAGGAACACCAGAGGCGAAGGCGGCAACCUGGCGUCGUAACUGGACGCUCA
rnacentral:rRNA from 1 species